rnacentral:rRNA from 1 species
GCUUUACUGUAACUUGAAAUUGGUUUCGGGUUUUAUUUGCGCAGCAUAGGUGGGAGGCUUUGAUGUUAGUCUUACGGGAUUAAUGGAGCCAUCAGUGAGAUACCACUCUAAUAAAACUAGAACUCUAACCCUAUACCGUUAGCCGGUUAGGGGACAGUUUCAGGCGGGCAGUUUGACUGGGGCGGUCGCCUCCUAAAAGGUAACGGAGGCGUACAAAGGUUUCCUCAGAUCGGUCAGAAAUCGAUCGUAGAGUGCAAAGGCAAAAGGAAGCUUGACUGUGAGACCUACAAGUCGAACAGAGACGAAAGUCGGUCUUAGUGAUCUGGCGAUAUUGAGUGGAA